AGAUUGAACGCUGGCGGCAUGCCUUACACAUGCAAGUCGAACGGCAGCACGGGAGCAAUCCUGGUGGCGAGUGGCGAACGGGUGAGUAAUAUAUCGGAACGUGCCCAGUCGUGGGGGAUAACGUAGAGAAAUUUACGCUAAUACCGCAUACGAUCCAAGGAUGAAAGCGGGGGACCGUAAGGCCUCGCGCGACUGGAGCGGCUGAUAUCAGAUUAGCUUUGGUUGGUGAGGUAAAGCUCACCAAGGCGACGAUCUGUAGCGUGGUUUGAGAGAACGACCAGCCACACGUGGACUGAGACACCGGCCAGACCUCGACGGGAGCAGCAAGGUAGGAAUAGUUGGAAC
rnacentral:rRNA from 1 species